ensembl:misc_RNA 7SK 7SK RNA
GGAUGUGAGGGCAACCCGGGUUAGACAUCAAUCACUUCAUUGAUCUCCAGGGUUGAUUCCUCUGAUCUGGCUGGCUACGUGGGUGUUCCCUUCCUCCCUCACCUCUCCAUGUGUGUCCCUUCCAAAGCUGUGUGCUCUGUCAAAAAGGAUGACCUUCCCCAUAUAGAGACAGACCUGUCUUUGGUAAAGGGUAUAGGAGUAUCUGUGCUUCCUUGCUCCAAACAAGCUCUCAAAGUCACUUCUUUAAUAGGGUCUCCUUUUAAUCCCAUCACUGUCUGCAAUUCUUGAAAUUGCCUUCAUUUUUCAAAUGAAU